GGGUAUCUUGCUGGAGAUUUCUGCAUGCUUGAGGCUUCCUGGAGAGUGUGGAGGGGAGGAAGGAAGGAGAAGGGGCUUCAAAAUUGUCACAUUUAUGUAUCUUCCUCUGAAUCCACUCAAGACUACUGGCCGUUCCAAGCACAAGUAGUAUCCUCUCACUCCAUUUACACCCCGAGCCCCAGUACUUUAUCAUCUUUGAGUGAAUGGCCUUCAAAUUUGGAAAAAGUAAAGUGGUACACAAAUGGCUCUUACUUUCAUACAACAAAGCUUCGAAAAUUUGGAGGGAGCAAGAAAACCAAAAGGCACGAUCAGUUUUGCUUCUUCCCAUCUCUUUCCUUUGCUGUCAUUGUGACUAACACAACACCCUUGGUGAUGGGCUGUAAAUGCUGGAGGG
ensembl:lncRNA